AAUAGCCUAACGGCUGAACCAGCAACUUGGAGGAAUGAAUAGCAAUAGCUAAUUGCGCAAAUAUAUGAUGCAAUAUCGACUCAGUCGAAUAAAAUUCUGGCUAAAAUUAUGAUAAUGACAUUGUUUAGCUACGUGUCUUGACCAAAUUACGUGCCAGCAGUCGCGGUAAUACGUAAAAGACUAGUGUUAUUCAUCUUUAAUAGGUUUAAAGGGUACCCAGACAGUAAAUCAAGCCCUAGUCGGGACUAAUUUGCUAGAGUUACUUACACGGGGGUUUUAAAGUACUAAUGGUGUAGAGAUAAAAUUUUGUAAUACCAUUUUUCGAAAGAAAAGUCAUGGCACUGGUAAAGGCGAAAGCAUCCCCUUAUGUGAUAACUGACGUUGAAGGACGAAGGCUUUGGAUCGCGAAUAGGAUUAGAUACCCUAGUAGUCGAAGCAGAGAAUUAUGAGUGUCAUAGAUUAAAAAUUAAUUUUAUUCUAUAAAUGAAAGUGUAAGCAUUCCACCUCAAGAGUAAUUUGGCAACAUUGAAACUGAAAUCAUUAGACCGUUUCUGAA
rnacentral:rRNA from 1 species